AGUUAGCUGACGAGUCCCAAAUAGGACGAAAUGCGCAUCUUGACU
rnacentral:hammerhead_ribozyme from 1 species